ACAGAGUCCUGACCCAACAGAAUGCCUUUGGAGGAAUUGGGGGCAGAAGGAGGACGAAAACAUGACAGCUCUAUUCUGUACUGGACUUUUCUAAGCCCUCAGUAUAUUUCCCCAUGUGAGCAGACGCCUCAAAAUGGGGCAGGUUAACUGCUAAAAAGCCCUUCUGGAAAAGGACCUGGGAAGAAUCUAUGGCUCUCUCCAGGCGGGGCACCUUGAACAGAAGACCACAGCAGUCAAUAUAGUGGGAAAUAUAAGAGACGUACCCCCCCCCCC